rnacentral:rRNA from 1 species
UGGGGAAUAUUGGACAAUGGGCGAAAGCCUGAUCCAGCCAUGCCGCGUGUGUGAAGAAGGUCUUCGGAUUGUAAAGCACUUUAAGUUGGGAGGAAGGGCAGUAAGCGAAUACCUUGCUGUUUUGACGUUACCGACAGAAUAAGCACCGGCUAACUCUGUUCCAGCAGCCGCGGUAAUACAGAGGGUGCAAGCGUUAAUCGGAAUUACUGGGCGUAAAGCGCGCGUAGGUGGUUCGUUAAGUUGAAUGUGAAAGCCCCGGGCUCAACCUGGGAACUGCAUCCAAAACUGGCGAGCUAGAGUAGGGCAGAGGGUGGUGGAAUUUCCUGUGUAGCGGUGAAAUGCGUAGAUAUAGGAAGGAACACCAGUGGCGAAGGCGACCACCUGGGCUCAUAAUGACACUGAGGUGCGAAAGCGUGGGGAGCAAACAGG